GACGAACGCUGGCGGCGUGCCUAAUACAUGCAAGUUGAGCGCUGAAGGUUGGUACUUGUACCAACUGGAUGAGCAGCGAACGGGUGAGUAACGCGUGGGGAAUCUGCCUUUGAGCGGGGGACAACAUUUGGAAACGAAUGCUAAUACCGCAUAAAAACUUUAAACACAAGUUUUAAGUUUGAAAGAUGCAAUUGCAUCACUCAAAGAUGAUCCCGCGUUGUAUUAGCUAGUUGGUGAGGUAAAGGCUCACCAAGGCGAUGAUACAUAGCCGACCUGAGAGGGUGAUCGGCCACAUUGGGACGGAGACACGGCCCAAACUCCUACGGGAGGCAGCAGUAGGGAAUCUUCGGCAAGGGACGAAAGUCUGACCGAGCAACGCCGCGUGAGUGAAGAAGGUUGUCGGAUCGUAAAACUCUGUUGGUAGAGAAGAACGUUGGUGAGAGUGGAAAGCUCAUCAAGUGACGGUAACUACCCAGAAAGGGACGGCUAACUACGUG
rnacentral:rRNA from 1 species